AAGGAAUAUUGGUCAAUGGACGCAAGUCUGAACCAGCCAUGCCGCGUGAAGGAUGAAGGUCCUCUGGAUUGUAAACUUCUUUUAUCUGGGACGAAAACGGGAUUUUUAUCUCAAUUGACGGUACCAGAGGAAUAAGCACCGGCUAACUCCGUGCCAGCAGCCGCGGUAAUACGGAGGGUGCGAGCGUUAUCCGGAUUUACUGGGUUUAAAGGGUGCGUAGGUGGGCUUAUAAGUCAGUGGUGAAAUCUCCGAGCUUAACUUGGAAACUGCCGUUGAUACUAUAGGUCUUGAAUUAUCUGGGGGUAAGCGGAAUAUGUCAUGUAGCGGUGAAAUGCUUAGAUAUGACAUAGAACACCAAUUGCGAAGGCAGCUUACUACAUAUAAAUUGACGCUGAGGCACGAAAGCGUGGGGAUCAAACA
rnacentral:rRNA from 1 species